rnacentral:misc_RNA from 1 species
AGAGUGACAUCAUGCAGAAAAACUAGAGAGGUGAUGAUGUUACUGAUGAUGAUCCAUCAUCUUGAAACAUUGGCACACAACAGCUAUAGGAACAAAAAUGGAAUAUAAUAGAUGGGAUCAAGAAAAUCACUUCGCAGAGGAAUCCAGAAUGCAGAGAAAUUUAACGGGUCACAGAUGAGAAGAAGCAGAAGAAGAAAAAGAAGAGGUGAAAUAAACAGAGGAGUACGAUAAAAGUAACAAGAAAUACCAGAUCAAGAGAAAUUGAACAAAUAUAUAAAGCUCAAGUGGGAAUCAUAUACUCGAUCAAUUCAGCUUCCAUUCACGGAGAAACAACAAUAACAGUAAAAAUAUGGAACAGAACACAGUAUUCAAAAACCAGCCAAGAAAUCCAAGAACAAGAAAAUUCUUACUGGUCUUGCAAUUGAUAAAAAAAGACUUUUCUGGUUUUCUCCGGUACAGUCACAGCGAGAGAGAGAG